GGACAGGGCCUGGGGACAUCUGAGGGAAGUGAUCCGGGGGGCUGCCGCCCACCGAGAGGGGCAGGCUUCGACAGCGCCACCCUGCCGCACAUGCCCGGCGCCUCGCCGGCCCUCUCCAAAGGUGUCCAGGGGCUGCGCCGCGACACUUUCCACCGAGCGUCUGCCAGCAGCUGGACCCCGCUCUCCAAUGGCCGCCGCCGCCAAGUCCCCGGGGCUCCCGCACUCCGGGCCGGGCGCGAAGGUCACCGCCCUGCACCACCUUGGGCUGCGCGUCCAUUUCCAAGAGGCAGGCAGUGGGGAGAGGGGAGCGGGGGCGCUGUGUUCCCUUUCCCUCUCAUCACUAACCUCCCACCUUCCAGCGGUUUCUGAAAGUGAGUUAAGGGGAGCAAAAGUCACUUCUCUUUCCGGAGCCAUCAGAAGAGUUUAGGAAAAGGUCUCCAGAAGAAGAAUUCUUAGCGAUCUACAGGCAAGAGAUUUGCUCUCUAAACUCCUCCUUCUCCCAGAAGAGCUCUCCUACCCAGAGUCCCUCAUGCUCAGCAUGCAGUGCAGACAGAAAUAGCAGCCAUCUACAUGAAUUGUGGAUCCACGCACUCAUUCCAAGAUCUUCUUUCAGCGAGCAAUGGAUUCUUCAUGCAUGUGAUCCUCACUACGUACCCUACAAAGACCUUGCUAAUGCUUAGAGAUCAAAUUAUUUGUGUAUCUUUUCAGUGGAGGAAAUGAUCCAUCCACCUGAUAGUGUGUGAGCUUGUAUCCCCUCCUUCUUUUUCCCUCUCAUGGGAAAACAAAUCAACUGUUUUUCCUUUUCCUUCUCACAGACUGCAAGUCAUGCUAUCUUUCACCAAGGAGGAAAAGUUGCAUCUGAGUUAUUGCUGUGAAGAAGUAGUUUGCAGGCACGGGCAGCUGGCAUUUUUUUGUCUCUAUGUGAAGAGGAUCAAUGCAAUUCAUGUUUUCUUGUUCGCACAAAGCUAGAUUUGAAAAUUCCUGGAAAAUCAAGGAAAUGUUUAGAGAAAUUGUUAAAAUUUUGGGAAACAGGAAAUCUGAGAGGAAGGUCAGGUUUUCGUAGUCUGGAUAUGCUAUCGGAGAAGUGAGAAGGGGUGAGAAGAUGGGUAGGGUGAGCUUCUUUCUUUUCUAGGCGCUCAUCCCCUGAUUGGCCAAUGUGUUGGUUUCCUAGGGCUGCUGUAACAAAUAAAG
rnacentral:lncRNA from 1 species